UACGUAGGGACCGAGCGUUGUCCGGAAUCAUUGGGCGUAAAGAGCGUGUAGGCGGCCCCUUAAGUCCUGCGUGAAAUCCUGCGGCUCAACCGCAGACGGUCGUGGGAAACUGGAGGGCUAGAGUGCGGGAGAGGAGAGUGGAAUUCCCGGUGUAGAGGUGAAAUUCGUAGAUAUCGGGAGGAACACCGGUGGCGAAGGCGGCGAUCUGGGUCGAUACUGACGCUGAGGUGCGAAAGCGUGGGGAGCAAACAGG
rnacentral:rRNA from 1 species